UGCCCGGUAGCUAAAUGCGGAAGAGAUAAGUGCUGAAAGCAUCUAAGCACGAAACUUGCCCCGAGAUGAGUUCUCCCUGAGACUAUAAGUCUCCUGAAGGAACGUUGAAGACGACGACGUUGAUAGGCCGGGUGUGUAAGCGCAGCGAUGCGUUGAGCUAACCGGUACUAAUGAACCGUGAGGCUUAACCUU
rnacentral:rRNA from 1 species